rnacentral:rRNA from 1 species
UAACUUAGGGAUAAGGGGUGCCACCAUCAGGUGGCCGCAGAGAAUAGGCCCAAGCGACUGUUUACCAAAAACAUAGGUUUCUGCUAAGUCGCAAGACGAUGUAUAGGAGCUGACGCCUGCCCGGUGCGGGAAGGUUAAGGGGAUCUGUUAGAGUAAUCGAAGCAGUGAACUUAAGCCCCAGUAAACGGCGGCCGUAACUAUAACGGUCCUAAGGUAGCGAAAUUCCUUGUCGGGUAAGUUCCGACCCG